rnacentral:rRNA from 1 species
AGUGAACGCUGGCGGUAGGCCUAACACAUGCAAGUCGAACGGCAGCACAGUAAGAGCUUGCUCUUACGGGUGGCGAGUGGCGGACGGGUGAGGAAUACAUCGGAAUCUACUUUUUCGUUGGGGAUAACGUAGGGAAACUUACGCUAAUACCGCAUACGACCUACGGGUGAAAGCAGGGGAUCUUCGGACCUUGCGCGAUUGAAUGAGCCGAUGUCGGUUUAGCUAGUUGGCGGGGUAAAGGCCCACCAAGGCGACGAUCCGUAGCUGGUCUGAGAGGAUGAUCAGCCACACUGGAACUGAGACACGGUCCAGACUCCUACGGGAGGCAGCAGUGGGGAAUAUUGGACAAUGGGCGCAAGCCUGAUCCAGCCAUACCGCGUGGGUGAAGAAGGCCUUCGGGUUGUAAAGCCCUUUUGUUGGGAAAGAAAAGCAGCAGGUUAAUACCCCGCUGUUCUGACGGUACCCAAAGAAUAAGCACCGGCUAACUUCGUG